rnacentral:rRNA from 1 species
CCAGUGGCCGCAGGCCUACACAUGCAAGUCGAACGGGCUCUUCGGAGCUAGUGGCGGACGGGUGAGUAACACGUGGGAACGUGCCUUUAGGUUCGGAAUAAGCCCGGGAAACUGGGUCUAAUACCGGAUGUGCCCUUCGGGGGAAAGAUUUAUCGCCUUUAGAGCGGCCCGCGUCUGAUUAGCUAGUUGGUGGUGUAAUGGACCACCAAGGCGACGAUCAGUAGCUGGUCUGAGAGGAUGAUCAGCCACAUUGGGACUGAGACACGGCCCAAACUCCUACGGGAGGCAGCAGUGGGGAAUCUUGCGCAAUGGGCGAAAGCCUGACGCAGCCAUGCCGCGUGAAUGAUGAAGGUCUUAGGAUUGUAAAAUUCUUUCACCGGGGACGAUAAUGACGGUACCCGGAGAAGAAGCCCCGGCUAACUUCGUGCCAGCAGCCGCGGUAAUACGAAGGGGGCUAGCGUUGCUCGGAAUUACUGGGCGUAAAGGGAGCGUAGGCGGACAUUUAAGUCAGGGGUGAAAUCCCGGGGCUCAACCUCGGAACUGCCUUUGAUACUGGGUGUCUUGAGUGUGAUAGAGGUAUGUGGAACUCCGAGUGUAGAGGUGAAAUUCGUAGAUAUUCGGAAGAACACCAGUGGCGAAGGCGACAUACUGGAUCAUUACUGACGCUGACGCUCGAAAGCGUGGGGAGCAAACAGGAUUAGAUACCCUGGUAGUCCACGCCGUAACGAUGAUUGCUAGUUGUCGGGGUGUUUACACCUCGGUGACGCAGCUAACGCAUUAAGCAAUCCGCCCUGGGGGGAGUACGGUCGCAAGAUUAAAACUCAAAGGAAUUGACGGGGGCCCCGCACAAGCGGUGGGAGCAUGGUGGUUUAAAUUCGAAGCAACGCGCAGAACCGUACCACCUUUUGAACAUGCCUGACGCGUGAGAGAUCACGCUUUCCCGUUCAGGACUAGAACACAGGUGCUGCAAUGCCUGUCCGUCAGCUUCGUGUCAUGAAAUGUGGGUAAGUCACGCAACGAGCGCACUCGCAUAGCUUGCAAUCAUUUCAGUGGAAC